GCCGGCAUAGCUCAGUUGGCUAGAGCAUGCGGUUCAUACCCGCAGUGUCGUUGGUUCGAAUCCGACUGCCGGUACCA
rnacentral:tRNA from 2 species